rnacentral:rRNA from 1 species
AACAGGAUUAGAUACCCUGGUAGUCCAUGCCGUAAACGAUGUCUACUAGCCGUUGGGGCCUUUGAGGCUUUAGUGGCGCAGCUAACGCGAUAAGUAGACCGCCUGGGGAGUACGGUCGCAAGACUAAAACUCAAAUGAAUUGACGGGGGCCCGCACAAGCGGUGGAGCAUGUGGUUUAAUUCGAUGCAACGCGAAGAACCUUACCUGGUCUUGACAUAGUAAGAACUUUCCAGAGAUGGAUUGGUGCCUUCGGGAACUUACAUACAGGUGCUGCGUGGCUGUCGUCAGCUCGUGUCGUGAGAUGUUGGGUUAAGUCCCGCAACGAGCGCAACCCUUUUCCUUAUUUGCCAGCGGGUUAAGCCGGGAACUUUAAGGAUACUGCCAGUGACAAACUGGAGGAAGGCGGGGACGACGUCAAGUCAUCAUGGCCCUUACGACCAGGGCUACACACGUGCUACAAUGGUCGGUACAAAGGGUUGCUACCUAGCGAUAGGAUGCUAAUCUCAAAAAGCCGAUCGUAGUCCGGAUUGGAGUCUGCAACUCGACUCCAUGAAGUCGGAAUCGCUAGUAAUCGCGGAUCAGAAUGCCGCGGUGAAUACGUUCCCGGGCCUUGUACACACCGCCCGUCACACCAUGGGAAUUUGUUGCACCAGAAGUAGGUAGUCUAACCGCAAGGAGGACGCUUACCACGGUGUGGCCGAUGACUGGGGUGAAGUCGUAACAAGGUAACC